UGCCUUUUGUCUAAAUAUAUAAAAGGUUCAUCCUGCCCAGUGACAAAUUUUUUGUUCAACGGCCGCGGUACCCUGACCGUGCAAAGGUAGCAUAAUCAUUCGCCUUUUAAUUGAAGGCUAGUAUGAAUGGAUAAACGAAGGCCCAUCUGUCUCUAAAGUAAUAAUCAUAAAUUAUCCUUCAGGUGAAGAGACCUGAAUAUAAAAAAAGGACAAGAAGACCCUGUUGAGCUUUAUUUUUAUUUAUUAAUUUACAACAGCUUUUAAGUACACACUAUUAAUAUACAAAAUUCAGUUGGGGCGACUAGGGAACAUUUAAAACUUCCCUUUAAUUCUAAGAUUACCAAAUCUUUAUUCUGAUCCAAACAACUUGAUCAAAGAAUCGAGCUACCACAGGGAUAACAGGCUAAUCCUCCUUAAGAGCCCAUAUUGACAGGAGGGAUUGGCACCUCGAUGUUGGCUUAGGGCCCCCAAUAAGCGCAGCAGCUUUUAAUGGUAGGUUUGUUCAACCUUUAAAGCCCU
rnacentral:rRNA from 1 species